rnacentral:rRNA from 1 species
UACGGAGGGUGCAAGCGUUGGUCCGGAAUCACUGGGCGUAAAGGGCGCGUAGGCGGCUCAUGAAGGCUGUGGUGAAAGUCCGGGGCUCAACCUCGGAUCGGCCGGUGGCGACUCGUGGGCUGGAGCACUGUAGAGGCGGGUGGAAUUCCGGGUGUAGGCGGGUGGAAUGGCGUAGAGAUCCGGAAGAACACCAGUGGCGAAGGCGGCCCGCUGGGCAGUGGCUGACGCUGAGGCGCGAAAGCGUGGGAGCA